GACGAACGCUGGCGGCGUGCUUAACACAUGCAAGUCGAACGGAAAGGCCCUGCUUUUGUGGGGUGCUCGAGUGGCGAACGGGUGAGUAACACGUGAGUAACCUGCCCUUGACUUUGGGAUAACUUCAGGAAACUGGGGCUAAUACCGGAUAGGAGCUCCUGCUGCAUGGUGGGGGUUGGAAAGUUUCGGCGGUUGGGGAUGGACUCGCGGCUUAUCAGCUUGUUGGUGGGGUAGUGGCUUACCAAGGCUUUGACGGGUAGCCGGCCUGAGAGGGUGACCGGCAAAAUGGGGACUGAGAUACGGCCCAGACUCCUACGGGAGGCAGCAGUGGGGAAUAUUGAACAAGGGGCGGAAGCCUGAUGAAGAAACGCCGCGGGGGGGAUGACGGCCUUCGGGUUGUAAACCGCUUUCGCCGGUGACGAAGCGUGAGUGACGGUAAUGGGUAAAGAAGCACCGGCUAACUACGU
rnacentral:rRNA from 1 species